UCCUGCUGCCGUGAGCUUCAAGCCCUCGACGCUGAACUUUUAGUCGACACCUCAAACAAAACUCGUGGCGUGCGCGCGCGCCGAAGGUUUCAAAGUCUGGGUGAAGGAGUAAAACUCCCAAAAACAAAUACGGAGAGUUGGGUGUAGAGAGGGGACUGGUAGGGAGAGGGUAGAGAGAAGGGCAGGGAGAGAAGGGCAGGGAGAGAAGGGCAGGGAGAGAGAGACAGAGAGAAGGGCAGGGAGGUGAAGAGGAGAUGAAACUACGACGGCAGCGGUGACGAGAAGAGUGAAGGGAGUCGGAGGGUCCUGCGUGCGCGCGGUCACCGACAGCCCCAAGGUCACGAGGUCACGAGGUCGCGAGGUCACGAGGUCGUGACCCCACGUCCGCUGGGGGUGGUGGGGGGGGGGGUUGAGGUUCUACCCCGGGACCGUUGCCGGGUGGAGUGGGGCCCCCCUGUGACCUCUCGCCCACCCCCCCGCGACCUCCCCCCCCCGUGACCUUUCACCUCCCACCCCCCCCGUGACCUCUCUACCUGCCGAGGCGCCCCCCCCCCGCCCGUCGCGAGGACUCCAUGAGCAGCCCGGCAGAGAGCGGCGCGCAGCCUGGCAGCCUCCAACAGUCGCGAGUAGCUUCUCGGAGCCCCCCGUCUCUCUGCGCCGCUGAGGAUGGCGCGUGGCAACUCGCGCGCGCGGUGACGCAGCGGCGGCCCCUGCUGGGACCCGCCCCCCACAGGAGGACCGCCGGCGUUGCCAUGGAGACGGAGCAUCGCCGUGGCAACGGCCACGUCUCCUGUCCGCAUCUGGGAACCUCCUGGGGCACCACGAGGUACGACGUUCCGGACGGCACCCCUCCGCAGAGCAACGGGGACGUGGCCAGGGCCAACCACGAACGGGGCUCCCGCUCAAACACCACCACCACCCCGACAACAACAACCAC